rnacentral:lncRNA from 10 species
GCCGUCUUUAAGAACUGUAACACUCACCUUGAAGGUUGGCAGCUUCAUUCUUGAAGCUGGAGUGCAGUGGCCCAAUCUCAGCUCACUACAAUCUCUGCUUCCCAGGUUCAAGUGAUUCUCGUGCCUCAGCCUCCCGAAUAGCUGGGAUUACAGGAGGCUCCCAGCCCUUUCGGAUUGGUUGAGAAAAGUGGCCUGGCUGGUCUGGGGCCAGCGGCACCCACCCUCCCCUCAAUUGCCCAACUCCCCCCC